CAGGGUAUAGACCCGAAACCCGGUGAUCUAGCCAUGGGCAGGUUGAAGGUUGGGUAACACUAACUGGAGGACCGAACCGACUAAUGUUGAAAAAUUAGCGGAUGACCUGUGGCUGGGGGUGAAAGGCCAAUCAAACCGGGAGAUAGCUGGUUCUCCCCGAAAGCUAUUUAGGUAGCGCCUCGUGAAUUCAUCUCCGGGGGUAGAGCACUGUUUCGGCUAGGGGGCCAUCCCGGCUUACCAACCCGAUGCAAACUGCGAAUACCGGAGAAUGUUAUCACGGGAGACACACGGCGGGUGCUAACGUCCGUCGUGAAGAGGGAAACAACCCAGACCGCCAGCUAAGGUCCCAAAGUCAUGGUUAAGUGGGAAACGAUGUGGGAAGGCCCAGACAGCCAGGAUGUUGGCUUAGAAGCAGCCAUCAUUUAAAGAAAGCGUAAUAGCUCACUGGUCGAGUCGGCCUGCGCGGAAGAUGUAACGGGGCUAAACCAUGCACCGAAGCUGCGGCAGCGACGCUG
rnacentral:rRNA from 1 species